UUUGUGCUGGAAGGGACCUUUAAAGCUCAUCUAUUCCAACCCCUCAGGCACUCCCGUUUGAUCUGGGGUGGGUCUCUCUAGAGGGCCCACAGGAGCUUCAUCCGUUCAGUAGAGCAUCUGCCCAUGCUUCAUUAACUUGCCUGUGAAGAUGUUACGGGACAGAGUGUCGAAAUGAGGUGAUGCUCCAAAUUUGCUACAGUGAGGAGGGAAACUCUGUGCUCCAGCAACGAGGAUGCUCCAGUGCUGGUGGCAGCAUGGCUCUGACCUCUGCUACAAAUGUCCACUGGGAAAGCAAAUCCCUUCCCUCCACGUUCCCUCCGUGCAGCUUUGCUAAUUAUUCAUGAGGAGUCAUUACCAGGAGUUCUCUUCUCUUCAUGGUCAGUGAGUGUCCCUGCAUGGCUGAUAAAAUUCCAUCAUCCCAUGGUGAGAUGCUCUGCCCAGGGGGAGGAACCAAACAUUCCUACCUGGAUACAAUCUGACCCCUGGAACACCACAGCACCUUUUGCCCACUGCAUUCCCAGAGGAGCAGCUUUCUUCCCCACUGCAUUCCCAGAGGAAGCCCAGGCCCAUCCACACCAGCCCUGGAGCUUCAGAGGAAAACUCCAGCCUUGUCCAGGAUCCCUGCUCCAGCAGAAGCACAGCUGGCACUGCAGGAGGGCUGAGCCCCCAUGGAAUGGCACUGCUGCCACCACCCUGACCCACAGGCUGCCAGGGCCUGUUCUCACUCUGGCAGUGUUGUUUUGUAUUACUGCAUUGUUUAUUUUUUCUUUUAAUUUUUAUUUUUUUUUGUAAUAAAGAACUGUUA